GGUAUUAUAAAUGUGUUUUUCUUGAGGGAUUUGACCUUCAUCCAAGAGCAUACUGUGGAUCAGAACUCUGGCUGGACUUGGUCACCAGGAACUUAAGAUGUAAAAUGAAGGAUCUAAUGUUCAGUAGAUGAACAAGAAUGGGACAAAUGUGGAAGCUGAGGAAGUUGUAGAAGCAAAAAACAGGUGAAAACAA